GGCAGAAUGCAUCUCGCCUGACUCCAGCCAGCUGCAGGUGUCUGGAAGAGGGUUGAAGAUGGUCAGAUGCUAAGGGCAGAGCCCUUCUUCUUCUCUCCACCCCCAAGCCACAAGUGCCAGGGUAAGAAAGCUGAGAUUCAGAAGGGUUCUGCACAAGAGAGCCAAUUUUUGGAUGCUGCCACACAGAGAGAGACGACAGCCAGUCAGUCUUGAAGAGCAGCAGCCAACCAACAGAGAGAUGGCCACUUCCCCAUGGCCUCCCGGUCCCUGUCCACAGCCCCGCCGCAGACAGGAGCAGGGGGGAUGUGACAAGGGACAGACCGCCUUCCGCCACCCUCCACUCAGGCCACCAGGGCCAUGGCCACAUCUAGCUUCCCUGGGAGUGGAGGCCGAGAGCUUUGAAGGAGAGCUUGACCUGGACAUUUUUAAGUACCAGCCCGUGUAAUCCUCACAGCAGCUGCGAGAAUAAGAGCUGCACCUGCCAGAGCACACCCGGUUAGAAAGAGGUGGUGCUGGGAUCUGCACCCGCUGGCCAUCUCUGGAGACCACCAUGAGACAGGGCCCCUGGUGACCGCCCGGGGAAGGGGCAGGUGCAGCGCCAUGGAAGGUCGGAGGAGGGCAGAGGCAAACAAGGCCAUGGAAAUGGACAAAAGGAGCCGCCCCGCCAUUAUGCACCACGUUCUGCACAGCUUUUCUCGCCACAGCCCGAGGAGCCCGAGGAGACGCCAGGCAAGGGGCCAGAGGCCUCUGCUUGCUGCCCAGGCCUCAAGCCACAAGAGAAAGCAACAUUCACCUUUAAUUGCAUCACAGACCAAACGUUAACCCACUGAAGACCCGCUACCCCGUUAACUGGCUAGAAUGGGGGUGUUCCUGCGGCUCCACUGAACAGAAACAGAUCCUGAGACCUUAAGUAAAUACUAUGGUAGGUGGUACACCAUCUGCAGUUUGCUGAACCCGCAGAUGUGGAACCGCGGACAUGGAAGAAUCACAUACACAGAGGGCCGACACUAAGUUGUAUGUGUAUUUUUGACUGCUCGGAGGGUCGACGCCCCUAACCUCCGUGUUGUUCAAGGGUCAAGUGUACUGCUUUCAUGUUUUAUAUAUUGAGUUUAUUCAUCUGACAAAUGAGGGAGCUAAGUUUAGAGAGUAAUUUGCACAAAGCACAGGGCUCAGCUACUAGAGAAAGCAACACCCUGCCACUGCCGGGCCAGUGCCCUCCCGAUCCUCCUGGCCACCCUGGGGUAUUCCCCUCCUCCCCGAUUUACAGCCGGGCAGACAGAGGUCCUGAGAGGACUCGGGGCAGCUGGACUGAGAACCAGCCCCUGAGCAUGUGUUCUUACCACCUCCAGCCUCAGCAGAGGUAGCUUCUGGUAAAAGGUGUGGGUAGUUUUUAUCAGUGUACUUGGUAGCCAGGGCUGUCCUGAUAGAGGUGACAGGUUCUGUGCAGGGAAACUUGAGCACUUAGGUGACUCAGAAAGCACCAUGGGUGCUUGGUCUCAUGGCCACAGGUGGGCCCCCCGGCAGGGACCUUGUGACCCAAUCAUAGGCCACAGUGGGUGGAAAACUGAAUCUUUCCCCAGCCCCACCAGACUGUAAACCAGAGUAAGGGGUGCCGUGAACAUCUGCGGGAGAUAGGGGUGCACCUGUCGAUUUAUCUGGGGACGGGAGCCGGCUUGGCCAGACAGUGACUUGAGGACCACCGCCACAAUGGCGAGAGGCAGUGUGGUCUACACCGCAGAACUCAAAGGAGCCAACCAUGGACCAGGUGUUACGAAAAUGCAGCUGAAAGCACACAUUCAGGAUCCCACCUUCUGUGGCCCCUGGGAGAGGGUGCCACUAGAGGGAUGUGAAAGAGAUGCCUUGUUUCUCUUGCCAACUUUCUUUUGGGAUGUGUCCCUUAAAGCACUGCCUGUCAUACUUUGCUAACGAAAGAUAAUGGACAGCCAGACUUCAAUUAUCCACAAGUGGAUUAUCCAUUUGGGGGAUUAGCUAAGCAAAAUUAAAGCUGCAGACCAGGCUGAGUUCUCCCACCCUGUCCUCCAUUGAUUAUCUCUCAAGGAAUGAAAGCAAACUUUAGCCUGAGCAAACAUAAUUAGGAAUGUAAAUCUGCUGCUGGGAAAACAAAACAAAACGAAACACAAAUGCAACAAAAACUAUCACUGUGUUACAAAGCCAAGCUGAAAUGGUGGUUGGCUUCUCUGUGCCAGGAUUGACCCUUUGUGGCUGGAGUACCCAAGGCUUUCUGAACUGUGAAAGUGCCCAAGUCCGAGUCUAGGCCUGCCAGAAGUUCAGACAACACCAAACAUAAAAGGCCUGGUCACUUAACCCAGGAGAGAAAGGAGAGAAAGGCUGAGGAGAGAGAUGGAUCUCAAAGAAGGGGGUGCCCGGAACCUCCAUGCUGGGGCCACUCAAGAGAAAAACACUUCCUGUCCUGGAGGCAGGGAGAAGGCAGAGGGACCCUGACAGGAUCAGCACCCCAAUCGAUCGCCGGUGGUGCUGGGAACGGCCGCCUCGCCCCCAGCCCUGCGCACAGGCAGCCUGCUAUUGCUGGAGGCGCACCUGCCAGGUCCUGGCCCAGCCCCCAGAGAGGUUCAUCACCACUCAACACUGAGCCCCAGCCAGGCUCCCUUCCCUCCCUGCCAGUUUCUCCCCGUCCCAGACUUCCGAAUGCUUUUCUUCCCAAGGGUUGAACAGCUCAGGAAUGGGGCCUCAGUGGUACCAGGGGCACCGGUGCACACCUACUCUUGGUGGCCUUUGAGCCUGGCAGCCUCAGGGGGUAUCUUAAGUAGUCUUUUCCAUAGCCUUGGAAAAGUCUGAGGGCAAUGCAUGUGGGCUUAGCACCAUGGGCCUUGCUGUCAUACCCUUGCUGUCACACCCUUCUUCUCAAGGGUGUCAGCUCCCUUAUUCCCAUUUCAAUUCCUAAUGAGUCAUCCCUCCAGCCCAAACCUCCCAACCAGCCCCCAAGAAGUGGGGCCACUGGGAGCAAUGGGAGAGGUCUGAGCUGUUCUAGCCUCUCGGCUUCAGGCUGAACUCCAUCUGGGGUCAGUGUCCCAGCCCACAGCACUCACAGAUCGAGCAGCAUUGGGACAUCUGGGCCAUUUAAGCACACUGAGGCCAAACCCCAAGGAGACUUGCGUGUCACUGCCAAGCCUGAGCCCCCAUGCGCCCACGUUCGGAGGGCCUUUCCCCUCAAGCUGUGGCACCCGUCUCUGUAACUGGCCCCUACUGUCUCCUCUGUUGCAUCAGGAGGGACCGAGAGGUAUGGCCCAUGCCCAACUCUGCCAGGGGCUAAAGGAACCAACUCCCAGAGAGCUGUCUCUUCACCUCUGAUACUUUCAGCAGACACACCAUGCAAAACAGAUGCCCCGGCUGUUUAACAAAGCCCAGGCACACCUGGCCAGCCAGCUCAGAGCCUGAGAGGCAGCACGUCUUCACCUGCACCUGCCAGGUCACUGUUAGGGGAGUUCUGGCUGUGGGGCUGGAGGCAGGGCCAGCAGGCUUGUGAGAGUGUGUGUCGGAGGGGCAGGGCAGGAGCAGGCUCAUACACCAAGGGACAGUGAUGUCAGUGUUAUGACACAGACCAAGGACAAAACACACAAAGCCUCAAACGUUAGAAUGAAAACUUUUAUCAUCACUCCUAUUAUCCCCGCAGAGCCCGCGGGGACUGAAGGGCACACCACUGGGAUCCGACGGAGGUCUACAUCUGCUUUAUCAGCACCCAAAGCCAUAUAUUGGGAUGACCCAAUGUAAAGCUACUGGUUAAUCUAGUUCCUGAGCAGACCUGCUAAUAAACCUCAA